CAGUAGCCGCGGUAAUACGUAGGGUGCAAGCGUUAAUCGGAAUUACUGGGCGUAAAGCGUGCGCAGGCGGUUUUGUAAGUCUGUCGUGAAAUCCCCGGGCUCAACCUGGGAAUGGCGAUGGAGACUGCAAGGCUAGAAUCUGGCAGAGGGGGGUAGAAUUCCACGUGUAGCAGUGAAAUGCGUAGAUAUGUGGAGGAACACCGAUGGCGAAGGCAGCCCCCUGGGCUAAGAUUGACGCUCAUGCACGAAAGCGUGGGGAGCAAACAGGAUUAGAUACCCCAGUAGUCCCUGUCUCUUAUAA
rnacentral:rRNA from 1 species